rnacentral:rRNA from 1 species
GUAAACUGCUUUUAUACGGGAAGAAAUGCGCCCACGUGUGGGCGUCUGACGGUACCGUAAGAAUAAGGACCGGCUAACUCCGUGCCAGCAGCCGCGGUAAUACGGAGGGUCCGAGCGUUAUCCGGAAUCAUUGGGUUUAAAGGGUCCGUAGGCGGGCCUGUAAGUCAGGGGUGAAAGUUUGUGGCUCAACCAUAAAAUUGCCUUUGAUACUGCAGGUCUUGAGUCAUGGUGGGGUCGCCGGAACAUGUGGUGUAGCGGUGAAAUGCAUAGAUAUCACAUAGAACACCGAUCGCGAAGGCAGGUGGCCAACCAUGUACUGACGCUGAUGGACGAAAGCGUGGGUAGCGAACGGGAUUAGAUACCCCGGUAGUCCACGCCGUAAACGAUGGAUACUAGCUGUGGGGACUUCGGUCUCCGUGGCCAAGCGAAAGUGAUAAGUAUCCCACCUGGGGAGUACGUUCGCAAGAAUGAAACUCAAAGGAAUUGACGGGGGCCCGCACAAGCGGUGGAGCAUGUGGUUUAAUUCGAUGAUACGCGAGGAACCUUACCAGGGCUUAAAUGCAGGCUGCAUGGGGUAGAGAUACCCCUUUCUUCGGACCGCCUGCAAGGUGCUGCAUGGUUGUCGUCAGCUCGUGCCGUGAGGUGUCAGGUUAAGUCCUAUAACGAGCGCAACCCCUACCGUUAGUUGCCAGCAUGUCAAGAUGGGGACUCUAACGGGACUGCCGGUGCAAACCGUGAGGAAGGUGGGG